AAAUUGAAGAGUUUGAUCAUGGCUCAGAUUGAACGCUGGCGGCAGGCCUAACACAUGCAAGUCGAGCGGAAACGAGUUAUCUGAACCUUCGGGGAACGAUAACGGCGUCGAGCGGCGGACGGGUGAGUAAUGCCUAGGAAAUUGCCCUGAUGUGGGGGAUAACCAUUGGAAACGAUGGCUAAUACCGCAUGAUGCCUACGGGCCAAAGAGGGGGACCUUCGGGCCUCUCGCGUCAGGAUAUGCCUAGGUGGGAUUAGCUAGUUGGUGAGGUAAGGGCUCACCAAGGCGACGAUCCCUAGCUGGUCUGAGAGGAUGAUCAGCCACACUGGAACUGAGACACGGUCCAGACUCCUACGGGAGGCAGCAGUGGGGAAUAUUGCACAAUGGGCGCAAGCCUGAUGCAGCCAUGCCGCGUGUAUGAAGAAGGCCUUCGGGUUGUAAAGUACUUUCAGUCGUGAGGAAGGCGUUGUAGUUAAUAGCUGCAUCGUUUGACGUUAGCGACAGAAGAAGCACCGGCUAACUCCGUGCCAGCAGCCGCGGUAAUACGGAGGGUGCGAGCGUUAAUCGGAAUUACUGGGCGUAAAGCGCAUGCAGGUGGUUUGUUAAGUCAGAUGUGAAAGCCCGGGGCUCAACCUCGGAAU
rnacentral:rRNA from 1 species